UACAGAGGGUGCGAGCGUUGUUCGGAAUUAUUGGGCGUAAAGGGCGCGUAGGCGGUGCGGUAAGUCACCUGUGAAACCUCUGGGCUUAACUCAGAGCCUGCAGGCGAAACUGCCGUGCUGGAGUGUGGGAGAGGUGCGUGGAAUUCCUGGCGUAGCGGUGAAAUGCGUAGAUAUCGGGAGGAACACCUGUGGCGAAGGCGACCACCUGGACUGAUACUGACACUGAGGUGCGAAAGCGUGGGGAGCAAACAGG
rnacentral:rRNA from 1 species